rnacentral:rRNA from 1 species
GUCUUCCUCCUCAACGGCUCCAACGAGCCUCGCCGCCCCAGAUCCCCUGCAACGGGGACCCCGACGCUGCUGCUGCCCAGUUCGACUACGGUGUUGACAACCCCUCCUUCUUGCCAGAGCAACCAGAUGCUGGAGCCUAGGAGCCAGACGCCACCGUCGACGACGACUCCUACUACACCGGAGGUGCCUACUACUACGUGCAGCCCGCUGAUGACGACCAGGAGUAGUUUAGGAGGAUCCCAGGCAGGAGGCAUGCGCCUCUUUCGAUCUGUAUCCCAGUUUGUGCUAGCCUUCUUAAGGCAAACUUGUUUAACUUAUGU